CAGCCGCCGCGGGAAUACAGAGGAUGCAAGCGUUAUCCGGAAUGAUUGGGCGUAAAGGGCUCGCAGGCGGUUUCUUAAGUCUGAUGUGAAAGCCCCCGGCUCAACCGGGGAGGGUCAUUGGAAACUGGGAAACUUGAGUGCAGAAGAGGAGAGUGGAAUUCCACGUGUAGCGGUGAAAUGCGUAGAGAUGUGGAGGAACACCAGUGGCGAAGGCGACUCUCUGGUCUGUAACUGACGCUGAGGAGCGAAAGCGUGGGGAGCGAACAGGAUUAGAUACCCGGGUAGUCCCUGUCUCUUAUAC
rnacentral:rRNA from 1 species